AUCAAGCCGAUUGGAGAGAGGCCGCCCCGCGCGGCCCACCGAAGGGGCAAGUGGCCUAAGGCCGCGCAACUCUCAGGUAAAAAGGACAAGGGGAGAGGC
rnacentral:ncRNA from 2 species